UGAUUGCUGUUGGCUUCAACUCUCCAAGGCCCAGUUGCUUGUAGACAGAGUAUGGAAGCAAAUUCACACUUGCUCCCAAGUCUAGCAAGGCUUUCUCCACUACCUUUCCUCCAAUCAUGACUGAAAUGGUAGGACUUCCAGGGUCUUUGUACUUCAAAGGAGACUUACAUUGUAAGAUUGCACUUACUUGCUCAGUCAAGAAGGCUUUCUUGUUUACAGUCAACCCUCUUUUGAUAGUACACAAGUCCUUUAGGAAUUUUGCAUACGUUGGAACUUGUUUGAUCAUAUCCAGUAGUGGAAUAUUAACCUUCACUUGUCUCAAUACUUCUAGGAUUUCAGCUGCAUUUCUAACCCCCUUUUUCCCAUGUAAUGCUUGAGGAAAAGGUGGA
rnacentral:lncRNA from 1 species